rnacentral:rRNA from 1 species
GACGAACGCUGGCGGCGCGCCUAAUACAUGCAAGUCGAACGCGAGCAGCAAUGCUCGAGUGGCGAACGGGUGAGUAAUACAUAAGUAACCUGCCCUAGACAGGGGGAUAACUGCUGGAAACGGCAGCUAAGACCGCAUAGGUAUGGACACUGCAUGGUGACCAUAUUAAAAGUGCCAAGGCGCUGGUAGAGGAUGGACUUAUGGCGCAUUAGCUGGUUGGUGAGGUAACGGCCUACCAAGGCGGCGACGGGUAGCCGGCCUGAGAGGGUGACCGGCCACACUGGGACUGAGACACGGCCCAG